CAGUCGCCGCGGUAAAACGGAGGGUGCAAGCGUUAAUCGGAAUUACUGGGCGUAAAGCGUGCGUAGGUGGUGGUUUAAGUCCGUUGUGAAAGCCCUGGGCUCAACCUGGGAACUGCAGUUGAUACUGGGUCACUAGAGUGUGGUAGAGGAUAGUGGAAUUUCCGGUGUAGCAGUGAAAUGCGUAGAGAUCGGAAGGAACAUCAGUGGCGAAGGCGACUAUCUGGGCCAACACUGACACUGAGGCACGAAAGCGUGGGGAGCAAACAGGAUUAGAUACCCCCGUAGUCCCUGUCUCUUAUAC
rnacentral:rRNA from 1 species